GAUGAACGCUGGCGGCGUGCCUAAUACAUGCAAGUCGAGCGAACGGACGAGAAGCUUGCUUCUCUGAUGUUAGCGGCGGACGGGUGAGUAACACGUGGAUAACCUACCUAUAAGACUGGGAUAACUUCGGGAAACCGGAGCUAAUACCGGAUAAUAUUUUGAACCGCAUGGUUCAAAAGUGAAAGACGGUCUUGCUGUCACUUAUAGAUGGAUCCGCGCUGCAUUAGCUAGUUGGUAAGGUAACGGCUUACCAAGGCAACGAUGCAUAGCCGACCUGAGAGGGUGAUCGGCCACACUGGAACUGAGACACGGUCCAGACUCCUACGGGAGGCAGCAGUAGGGAAUCUUCCGCAAUGGGCGAAAGCCUGACGGAGCAACGCCGCGUGAGUGAUGAAGGUCUUCGGAUCGUAAAACUCUGUUAUUAGGGAAGAACAUAUGUGUAAGUAACUGUGCACAUCUUGACGGUACCUAAUCAGAAAGCCACGGCUAACUACGUGCCAGCAGCCGCGGUAAUACGUAGGUGGCAAGCGUUAUCCGGAAUUAUUGGGCGUAAAGCGCGCGUAGGCGGUUUUUUAAGUCUGAUGUGAAAGCCCACGGCUCAACCGUGGAGGGUCAUUGGAAACUGGAAAACUUGAGUGCAGAAGAGGAAAGUGGAAUUCCAUGUGUAGCGGUGAAAUGCGCAGAGAUAUGGAGGAACACCAGUGGCAAAGGCGACUUUCUGGUCUGUAACUGACGCUGAUGUGCGAAAGCGUGGGGAUCAAACAGGAUUAGAUACCCUGGUAGUCCACGCCGUAAACGAUGAGUGCUAAGUGUUAGGGGGUUUCCGCCCCUUAGUGCUGCAGCUAACGCAUUAAGCACUCCGCCUGGGGAGUACGACCGCAAGGUUGAAACUCAAAGGAAUUGACGGGGACCCGCACAAGCGGUGGAGCAUGUGGUUUAAUUCGAAGCAACGCGAAGAACCUUACCAAAUCUUGACAUCCUUUGACAACUCUAGAGAUAGAGCCUUCCCCUUCGGGGGACAAAGUGACAGGUGGUGCAUGGUUGUCGUCAGCUCGUGUCGUGAGAUGUUGGGUUAAGUCCCGCAACGAGCGCAACCCUUAAGCUUAGUUGCCAUCAUUAAGUUGGGCACUCUAAGUUGACUGCCGGUGACAAACCGGAGGAAGGUGGGGAUGACGUCAAAUCAUCAUGCCCCUUAUGAUUUGGGCUACACACGUGCUACAAUGGACAAUACAAAGGGCAGCGAAACCGCGAGGUCAAGCAAAUCCCAUAAAGUUGUUCUCAGUUCGGAUUGUAGUCUGCAACUCGACUACAUGAAGCUGGAAUCGCUAGUAAUCGUAGAUCAGCAUGCUACGGUGAAUACGUUCCCGGGUCU
rnacentral:rRNA from 1 species